AAAUUGAAGAGUUUGAUCAUGGCUCAGAUUGAACGCUGGCGGCAGGCCUAACACAUGCAAGUCGAACGGUAACAGGAAGCAGCUUGCUGCUUUGCUGACGAGUGGCGGACGGGUGAGUAAUGUCUGGGAAACUGCCUGAUGGAGGGGGAUAACUACUGGAAACGGUGGCUAAUACCGCAUAAUGUCGCAAGACCAAAGAGGGGGACCUUCGGGCCUCUUGCCAUCAGAUGUGCCCAGAUGGGAUUAGCUUGUUGGUGAGGUAACGGCUCACCAAGGC
rnacentral:rRNA from 1 species